rnacentral:rRNA from 1 species
AACGCAAAGAACCUUACCAGGUCUUGACAUAGGAAUAAAGGCCCUAGAGAUAGGGAGAUAGGAAUAUUCCAUACAGGUGGUGCAUGGUUGUCGUCAGCUCGUGUCGUGAGAUGUUGGUUUAAGUACCGCAACGAGCGCAACCCUUGUCGUUAGUUACCAGCACGUAGAGGUGGGGACUCUAGCGAGACAGCCGGCAAGAAACCGGAGGAAGGCGGGGAUGACGUCAAAUCAUCAUGCCCUUUAUGACCUGGGCUACACACGUGCUACAAUGGUCGGUACAGAGUGAAGCAAAGCCGUGAGGUGAAGCAAACCACAAAAAGCCGAUCACAGUUCGGAUUGUAGUCUGCAACUCGACUACAUGAAGUUGGAAUCGCUAGUAAUCGCAAAUCAACAAUGUUGCGGUGAAUACGUUCUCGGGUCUUGUACACACCG